GAUGAAGAACGUAGCGAAAUGCGAUAAUUAAUGUGAAUUGCAGAAUUUAGUGAAUCAUCGAAUCUUUGAACGCACAUUGCGCCCCUUGGUAUUCCGGGGGGCAUGCCUGUUCGAGCGUCAUUUCAACCCUCAAGCUCUGCUUGGUCUUGGGCCGCGCCGGCAACGGCGGGCCUCAAAAACAGUGGCGGCGCCAUCUGGCUCUAAGCGUAGUAAUUCUUCUCGCUAUGGAGUCCUGGUGGAUGCUUGCCAUCAACCCCCAAUUUUUCUAUGGUUGACCUCGGAUCAGGUAGGGAUACCCGCUGAACUUAAGCAUAUCAAUAAGCGGAGGA
rnacentral:misc_RNA from 1 species